rfam:Capsicum annuum cultivar Zunla-1 chromosome 9, whole genome shotgun sequence
ACCUCAUGGUUUGGACACUUUUCAUAAGCUUCUUCUCAAAUCUCCCCCAUACUUCAUACAAAAGCUCUCCAUUUUGUUGACAAAAAUUUGUGAUUUUGUCAUGCAAUU